AAGGAAGGAGACUAACUCCGCC
rnacentral:miRNA from 1 species